ACACGACUACAUUAGAUACCCGUGUAGUCCUAGCCGUAAACGAUACUCGCUAGGUGUCGGCCACGGUGCGACCGUUGUCGGUGCCGUAGGGAAGCCGUGAAGCGAGCCACCUGGGAAGUACGGCCGCAAGGCUGAAACUUAAAGGAAUUGCGGGGGAGCACCACAACGGGUGGAGCCUGCGGUUUAAUUGGACUCAACGCCGGGAAGCUCACCGGAUAAGACAGCGGAAUGAUUGCCGGGCUGAAGACCCUGCAUGACCAGCUG
rnacentral:rRNA from 1 species